GACGAACGCUGGCGGCGUGCUUAACACAUGCAAGUCGAACGGAAAGGCCCUGCUUUUGUGGGGUGCUCGAGUGGCGAACGGGUGAGUAACACGUGAGUAACCUGCCCUUCACUUUGGGAUAACUUCAGGAAACUGGGGCUAAUACCGGAUAGGAGCUCCUGCUGCAUGGUGGGGGUUGGAAAUUUUCGGCGGUUGGGGAUGGACUCGCGGCUUAUCAGCUUGUUGGUGGGGUAGUGGCUUACCAAGGCUUUGACGGGUAGCCGGCCUGAGAGGGUGACCGGCCACAUUAGGACUGCGAGACGGAGCAGACGGCUACGGGGGGCAGCAGGGGGGAGUAUUACACAAUGAGCGGAAGCCUGAUGCAGCAACGCCGCGUGUGGGAUGACGGCCUUCGGGUUGUAAACCGCUUUCGCCUGUGACGAAGCGUGAGUGACGGUAAUGGGUAAAGAAGCACCGGCUAACUACGUG
rnacentral:rRNA from 1 species